GUUAUUCCAACAAUAAAAAAACUAUUCAUCUCAAUUAAUACAAUUAAUCAAGUGAAUAGUUUUAUCAUAUUUAUAAUCUUGUACGUGAAGAUAAUCUAAUUGUGAAAUAUAUAACUAGAACUACUAAUAAUAUCCAU
rnacentral:sRNA from 1 species